rnacentral:piRNA from 1 species
UCACAAUGAUCCAAUGGGCAGCUAUCAC